CUGGCGGCAGGCCUAACACAUGCAAGUCGAGCGCUCACUUCGGUGGGAGCGGCGGACGGGUUAGUAACGCGUGGGAAUAUGCCCGGUACUAAGGAAUAGCCUUUGGAAACGAAGAGUAAUACCUUAUACGCCCUUCGGGGGAAAGAUUUAUCGGUAUCGGAUUAGCCCGCGUAAGAUUAGAUAGUUGGUGGGGUAAUGGCCUACCAAGUCUACGAUCUUUAGCUGGUUUUAGAGGAUGAUCAGCAACACUGGGACUGAGACACGGCCCAGACUCCUACGGGAGGCAGCAGUGGGGAAUCUUAGACAAUGGGCGCAAGCCUGAUCUAGCCAUGCCGCGUGAGUGAAGAAGGCCUUAGGGUCGUAAAACUCUUUCGCCAGAGAUGAUAAUGACAGUAUCUGGUAAAGAAACCCCGGCUAACUCCGUGCCAGCAGCCGCGGUAAUACGGAGGGGGUUAGCGUUGUUCGGAAUUACUGGGCGUAAAGCGCACGUAGGCGGACUGGAAAGUUGGGGGUGAAAUCCCGGGGCUCAACCUCGGAACUGCCUCCAAAACUAUCAGUCUAGAGUUCGAGAGAGGUGAGUGGAAUUCCAAGUGUAGAGGUGAAAUUCGUAGAUAUUUGGAGGAACACCAGUGGCGAAAGCGGCUCACUGGCUCGAUACUGACGCUGAGGUGCGAAAGUGUGGGGAGCAAACAGGAUUAGAUACCCUGGUAGUCCACACCGUAAACGAUGAAUGCCAGUCGUCGGCAAGUAUACUUGUCGGUGACACACCUAACGGAUUAAGCAUUCCGCCUGGGGAGUACGGUCGCAAGAUUAAAACUCAAAGGAAUUGACGGGGGCCCGCACAAGCCGUGGAGCAUGUGGUUUAAUUCGAAGC
rnacentral:rRNA from 1 species